rnacentral:rRNA from 1 species
CCUACGGGUGGCAGCAGUGAGGAAUAUUGGUCAAUGGGCGUAAGCCUGAACCAGCCAAGUCGCGUGAGGGAUGAAGGUUCUAUGGAUUGUAAACUUCUUUUAUAAAGGAAUAAAGUCAGGCACGUGUGCAUGUUUGUCUGUACUUUAUGAAUAAGGAUCGGCUAACUCCGUGCCAGCAGCCGCGGUAAUACGGAGGAUGCGAGUGUUAUCCGGAUUUAUUGGGUUUAAAGGGAGCGUAGGUGGGUUGUUAAGUCAGUUGUGAAAGUUUGGGGCUCAACCGUAAAAUUGCAGUUGAUACUGGCAGACUUGAGUGCAGAUGAGGUAAGCGGAAUUCGUGGUGUAGCGGUGAAAUGCUUAGAUAUAACGCAGAACUCCGAUUGCGAAGGCAGCUUACUAAGCUGUAACUGACAUUGAUGCACGAAAGUGUGGGUAUCAAACAGGAUUAGAUACCCUAGUAGUC